AGCUGAUAGUGGCGAAGCCCACUCCAUCACCUAGGAGUCUGACAAUCCUGGUCCCAGCAGGUGAAAGGAUGGAGGAGGAAGAUGAAUCAUUUGGAUUCUGCUGCCAUGGACUGAAUUAUCUCUGACUUAUCUCUGAAACAACUGAUGUGUCCUCCCAGAGAUGUAGCCUGCAGCCCCCACUCCAGGACUGCUUCCUAACAGGAAGCCUCUACCGCCUCCACCUCUGUGAGCAUCAGCUUUGUCAACACACCAUCCAGUGCAUCCCAAGCUGAUUAUUGGCUGUAUAGGAGUUGUAGCUGUAUAUGCUAUGAGGAGACUGACCCUGUCCACAGCCACAUGCACAUCACAUAGCUGCAUACAUUGAAGGUGAAUUUCUGUGACAGCAACCAAUGCAGCAGGGGAGCUACUGUGGCCUUUGUAUCUGCCAAAUAUGUCAGCAGUGAUCCCACAUCCCCCUCUUCUUGCUAACCCAAUAUCACAAAGAUGGUAUGAACCAUUUUCCUAGAAAUUGAAAGUUGUUUUCCUAACAAACAACUACUGUAUGGUUGUCUGAGAGGACUGGAUUGCUGCAGAAUGUGUUUCAGGUCUGGAAGAUUUAAGGCUGGCAUCUAAACAGAGAGAGAGAAGAUAAGCAAUGCAAGAAUAUGUGUAUGUGAGUGUGUACAGUUAUUUUCAUUACAAACGAUAAAAAGAUAUAUAAGGUAUAUAUCAAAACACAUACAAAAGCUACAUACAAGAGAAAUAUUUUGAUUGCAUACCCAUUCACCUUUGUGAUAAUGUUUAUUUUUAGUCACCCUGUUCAGUGCUGAGAGCUUUUAUGGAUUUUACUUAGCAGUGAAGUGAUGCUCAAAUGACUGAUACCAGAACUUUUGUGAAACCUAUUCAUAGUAGUGCCCACAGUUAAUGAUUCAAUAAGGAGAUUUAUG
rnacentral:lncRNA from 1 species